CCGGUUGAUCCUGCCGGAGGCGACCGCUAUUGGAGUUCGAUUAAGCCAUGCGAGUCUAGAGGCUUAGGCCUCGGCGUACCGCUCAGUAACACGUGGAUAACCUGCCCUGUUCAGGGGGAUAACCUCGCGAAAGUGAGAAUAAUACCCCAUAGUUCACCAUGCCUGGAACGGUUGGUGGAUGAAAGCUCUGGCGGAACAGGAUGGGUCUGCGGCGUAUCAGGUAGUAGGGGGUGUAAUGGACCUCCUAGCCCUCGACGCGUACGGGUUGUGGGAGCAAUCGCCCGGAGAUGGAUUCUGAGACACGAAUCCAGACCCUACGGGGUGCAGCAGGCGCGAAAACUUGACAAUGCGAGAAAUCGUGAUCAGGGAACUCCAAUUGUCCCCGUUUUUACGGGGUUCUGAAUUGACUCUAAACAGGUCGAGUAAUAGGGGCGGGAAAUAUCGGUGCCAGCCGCCGCGGUAAUACCGAAGCCCCAAGUGGUCGUCGUUCUUAUUGGGCCUAAAACGUCCGUAGCCGGUUUGGUACAUUCGUGGGUAAAUCAGACAGCUUAACUGUCUGAAUUCUGCGAGCACGGCCAAACUUGAGACCGGGAGAGGUGUAGGGUACCUGCGGGGUAGGGGUAAAAUCCUGUCAUCCCGUAGGGACCACCAGUUGCGAAGGCUCUACACUAGAACGGAUCUGACGGUCAGGGACGAAGCCUAGGGGCACGAACCGGAUUAGAUACCCGGGUAGUCCUAGGUGUAAACGCUGUGGACUUUGUGUCGGGAAUUCUUCGAGGAUUCUCGGUGCCGGAGUGAAGAUGUUAAGUCCACUGCCUGGGGAGUACGGUCGCAAGGCUGAAACUUAAAGGAAUUGGCGGGGGAGCACUGCAACGAGAGGAGCGUGCGGUUUAAUUGGAUCAACGCCGG
rnacentral:rRNA from 1 species